AUUGGCAGGCCAGUAUACCCUCAAGGCACCAGAUCCCAUCAAAUCUUGAAAGCUAAACAGGGUUAGCUCUGGUUAGUGCUUGGGUGGGAGACCCACAACAAAACCCAGGUGCUCUAAUA
rnacentral:rRNA from 1 species